GAGGAUGUAGUGAUAACGGUAGCACGCCUGCCCAGGGAGCAGGAAGAACGGUUCGAGUCCGGCAUCUUCU
rnacentral:tRNA from 3 species